GUUGACUUCGGAUUAGGUAGGAAU
rnacentral:rRNA from 1 species